CCAGACUCCUACGGGAGGCAGCAGUGGGGGAUAUUGCACAAUGGGGGGAACCCUGAUGCAGCGACGCCGCGUGAAGGAAGAAGUAUCUCGGUAUGUAAACUUCUAUCAGCAGGGAAGAAAAUGACGGUACCUGACUAAGAAGCCCCGGCUAACUACGUGCCAGCAGCCGCGGUAAUACGUAGGGGGCAAGCGUUAUCCGGAUUUACUGGGUGUAAAGGGAGCGUAGGCGGCAGUGCAAGUCUGGAGUGAAAGCCCGGGGCCCAACCCCGGGACUGCUCUUGGAACUGCAUGGCUGGAGUACAGGAGGGGCAGGCGGAAUUCCUAGUGUAGCGGUGAAAUGCGUAGAUAUUAGGAGGAACACCGGUGGCGAAGGCGGCCUGCUGGACUGUGACUGACGUUGAGGCCCGAAGGCGUGGGGAGCAAACAGGAUUAGAUACCCGAGUACUU
rnacentral:rRNA from 1 species